GGAAUUUUCCACUCGGGGCCGUUCAGGCAGGCUCUGGGUGCGCCAGCACGCGCCGGGGCCCGCGUCUCCCUGCUCCCCCCAAAAAUCCCAUUUCCCUGCGCUUCCCGAGCCUUUCAGACUCAUUCCUAAAUGAUUCCUCUACUGCAGCUGGAGAAGACAAACCAUGGGAUGGUUCCGCGAUGGAGGAAGGGGUGGAUGGGAAGUGUGAAGGAAUAUGUUUGAGGCACUGAUUGCAUCUAAAUUCUGCAAAUCUUUUAUUACUUUUCCCAUGGUCUGUGAGAAAAAACAAACAAACAAGCAAACAAACAAAAAAACACACCACAGCAGAAGAUGCCAGCCGGGGUGAGAAAUGGGGGGAAUCCUUUUGCUCCUGGAAAAGGAAACUCCCUGCAGCCUGGAGGCCUGGGAAUAGCACUCCUGCACAUGUUGGAAGGUGAUUUUUAGGAGCCGCCCAGCCCGAGGGUCCCGCACUGGGAUGCCCCUCAGCGAUGCAGGGAUGGAAGGCAGGUCCAGGUGUUGGAUUUUGGAGUUGCUUCGAUGCUCUGUUCACUGGACCCUCGGGGGAAACUGAGGCAUAAAGGGAGGAAGCCACAACUCAUCUUCCAUGGGAUGCUGUAAAAUCGUUGCUCCCGGGAGUUUGUCUCUCUGGGAGAUUCCCCUGCACCUUUUCCAUGGGCAAAGCCUUUUUGGGAUGAUCUUUGAGAGGUCUCUCCAGGUGGGAGGGGCUGAUCUUGGCCCUGCAAAGGGCUUUUCUCAGCCGCUGGGCUUGGAAAAAAAAUAUCCCAGUUCCGAGUUCAUCGCAUUUCUGGCGUUUGCUGUUGUUUGAGGAACCCAAAAAAAAAAAACACUGGAAAGGGACUGGGGAGGAUCCUGAGCCAGACCUGGGGCCCAUGGAGCCGUUCCAAGGGCUGGAGCCCCUCUGGAAUCAGGCUGGGAGAGCUGGGAAUGUUCACCUCGAGAAGGGAAGGCUCCAG